rnacentral:tRNA from 1 species
GCCUGGGUGGCUCAGUUGGUUAAGCGGCUGACUUCAGCUCAGGUCAUGAUCUCACGGUACGUGGGUUCGAGCCCCGCGUCCGGCU